rnacentral:rRNA from 2 species
AAAUUGAAGAGUUUGAUCAUGGCUCAGAUUGAACGCUGGCGGCAGGCCUAACACAUGCAAGUCGAACGGUAACAGGAAGCAGCUUGCUGCUUCGCUGACGAGUGGCGGACGGGUGAGUAAUGUCUGGGAAACUGCCUGAUGGAGGGGGAUAACUACUGGAAACGGUGGCUAAUACCGCAUAAUGUCGCAAGACCAAAGAGGGGGACCUUCGGGCCUCUUGCCAUCAGAUGUGCCCAGAUGGGAUUAGCUUGUUGGUGAGGUAACGGCUCACCAAGGCGACGAUCCCUAGCUGGUCUGAGAGGAUGACCAGCCACACUGGAACUGAGACACGGUCCAGACUCCUACGGGAGGCAGCAGUGGGGAAUAUUGCACAAUGGGCGCAAGCCUGAUGCAGCCAUGCCGCGUGUAUGAAGAAGGCCUUCGGGUUGUAAAGUACUUUCAGCGGGGAGG